GCACCUGCCUUAAGCCUUCAGUCAGUGCUUACAGGUUUUACCCAUAAACAUGUUGGCAAGACUGAGGACUCUAGUUGGGAUAGAGAUUGGAGGGCCUAGAGAGACCAGAGAGAAGCAGAAGGAAGCUGUCCUUUACUCUCAGUGUAUAACAGGAAGAAACAAAUGGUUCUGGAAAGGCAUGGUGGUUCAGCAUCCUCCACCCCCAGCUCCUGAGUGAGUGGACUCAGCUGAAGAAGAAGUGAAGACGUUGAGGCAGGAGAACAGAGGUGCAGAGGAAGCAGAGCGUGUUGCAAGAGUCCUGUGAGGAGGCAGAGAUGCUCUGUGAGGAAGCCACGAGAAGAUCUGUGAGAUGAGUGCAGAGUAGCAGUGCUCUCUCUUUGCACCUGGCCCAGCUCUUGGUUCAUGCUGUAGGCGUCUGAGGAGCAGCUUCUCGUGCCUGUUUCCCUGAAUGGUGCUGGAGAGUUCUCCCUUCCUGGAUCUAUGUCCUUCUUGGUUGUCUGGCAAUCCACAUAGCUCUCAGCCCCAUCCAUGGACAGGUUAAAGGUAAGCAGAAGGUGGGGACAGCAGUGCAGUGGUGGACAGAAAGUAAGUGAUCUAGGCCAGCAGCCUCCCUGAAGGGACUUUGGCCCAGAAAGCCAAACUUGUGGCUUUGAUACAAGCUCUAUAAAUGGCAAAAGGAAAGUCUACACUGACAGCAGGUAUGCUUUUGCCACUGUAUGGAACAAUAUACAGACUAAGAGGGCUGUUGAUAUCUGCAGAGAAAGACCUAAGAUGCUAUGGCUAAAUAGAAUCAGAUGGCAGAUCUAACCACCAAACAGGCAUCCCAAAGAGCAAUGAUCCUGGCAGUCAAAGAGCCUAAAGAUUAUUAUGAUGUCAGAGAGACCAGCUUUAGAUACACCCUUGAAGACUAUCAAGUUAUGGUCAAGUUAGGACUGGUAAAAGAAAUCCUGUAUAGGGUAGUAAAAAAAGAAGAAAGAAAACUAGUCUUCUCAUGGGAAGAAGGACACAAGUAUGUUACCAGCUUACAUUACUUGACCCACUUGGGGGCCAAGAAAUUAAAAGGUGUGGUUAACGGACCUGCCCUUGUUGCCCAGGUAAGUCAGGGACUGGCCAAGAUAUUGGAGAUUAAUUAGAAGUUACAUUGUACAUACAGGCCCCAAAGCUCAGGACAGGUAGAGAGGAUGAAUAGAGCUCUAAAAGAGACCUUGACAAAAUUAACCAUAGAGACUGGCGCAGACUUGGUGCUCCUUCCCCAGGCCCUAUUUAGAACUUGAUUCAGCCUUACUCUUUUUAAGAUUCUUUAUGGGGCUCCCAUGCCCAUCACUGUCUUAAAUGAUGUGUUUAAACCUACAUGUUGUUGUAAUAAUAAUCUGUAUGCUAAGUUAAAAGGCUUGCAGGUGGUGCAGAAAGAAGUCUGGUCACAACUGGCUACAGCAAAUGAGCCGGGUACCCCAAAGACAUCUCACCAGUUCCAGUCAGAGAUCUGAUCUACGUGGACCUGCAUCAUGCUCAGACCCUCAAGCCUCACUAGAAGGGUCCCUGCCUAGUCCUGUUUACUCUUCUUUCUUAUUCUGUUUUUGUUCCCAUGUUAAAGAUAGAGUAAAUGUAGUACAGCUUAUGGUCCUCCAGUGUCAAUACCAACCUAUAGUUAAGAUAGAAAAAGAAUAUGAUUUCUAUUCUCCACAUAGAGAUAUAGAUUUGUGAAAUUCUAAGAUUAGAAUUACUUAGUAGAAGAAGAGAGGAAUGAAAGAAAAUUAAAAUUCAAGGUCUAUGACAUAUGUGGCUUGCAAGUUAGGAAGGCUUUUUGGGCCUAGAGCAAAGAACAAAGGUUGUAAAGUCAUCCCAGGAACUGGCUAGCCAUAAAGAUAGAGAAGACAUACAAGAAUGUCCAGACUGGCCCGGCACCUCCCUAUCUCCCACCCUUCUGACCUGGGUUAAAUGUUAACCAGAUGCUCUGCCGACUUAGAUAAGCACCCAGCCCUCAGAAUUCCUGAUGCCCUGACCUGCACAUACUCUUUUUCUGAUGUUUAAAUGAACCAAUCGUGUGAAACCGCACCAAUUCCUCCCCCAGCCCCAGAUCCUUUUCUAUAAAACCCCCUAGCUUUUGAGCCUUGUGGUCGACAACCUCUGUCUCCUGUGUGAGAUACGUGUUAGCCCGGAGCGCCGUCAUUAAACUACCUCUUGUGUUUGCAUC
ensembl:lincRNA Slmapos2 sarcolemma associated protein, opposite strand transcript 2